rnacentral:rRNA from 1 species
GAUGAACGCUGGCGGCGUGCCUAAUACAUGCAAGUCGAGCGAACAGACGAGGAGCUUGCUCCUCUGACGUUAGCGGCGGACGGGUGAGUAACACGUGGAUAACCUACCUAUAAGACUGGGAUAACUUCGGGAAGCCGGAGCUAAUACCGGAUAAUAUAUUGAACCGCAUGGUUCAAUAGUGAAAGACGGUUUUGCUGUCACUUAUAGAUGGAUCCGCGCCGCAUUAGCUAGUUGGUAAGGUAACGGCUUACCAAGGCAACGAUGCGUAGCCGACCUGAGAGGGUGAUCGGCCACACUGGAACUGAGACACGGUCCAGACUCCUGCGGGAGGCAGCAGUAGGGAAUCUUCCGCAAUGGGCGAAAGCCUGACGGAGCAACGCCGCGUGAGUGAUGAAGGUCUUCGGAUCGUAAAACUCUGUUAUUAGGGAAGAACAAAUGUGUAAGUAACUAUGCACGUCUUGACGGUACCUAAUCAGAAAGCCACGGCUAACUACGUG